UCCCCUGUCCAGUGGGGUCUGGGGGGGGGGGGGAGCCCUUGGGAGGGGGAAACUU
rnacentral:SRP_RNA from 16 species